AUGCUUGCAGGGAACCAGAACAAUUACGAAAUCAUGAAUAUGAUCAGCGAUCCUGAGCUCCUGUAUGCCAAAGUGGAUGAAAUGGACGCGAUCCUGAAGGUGAGGGAAGCUGGUCUCAAGCCGGAAGCCAUCAAGAUGCUGUUCGGUGAUGAGAACAAGAAAAGAAGGAGGAAGAAGAAGGAGUAUAGAUUUUAAAAAACACUGCACCCG